rnacentral:rRNA from 1 species
GAGCGAACGUUAGCGGCAGGCCUAACACAUGCAAGUCGCACGAGAAUUCGGCUUCGGCCGAUAGUAAAGUGGCGGACGGGUGAGUAACACGUGGAUAAUCUGCCCUUCGGCGGGGGACGAACAGUCCGAAGGAUUGCUAAUACCGCGUACGUCAGCGAGGUCUUCGGACUUCGUUGGGAAAGACGGCCUCUUCAUGAAAGCUGUCACCGAAGGAUGAGUCCGCGGCCCAUCAGCUAGUUGGCGGGGUAAUGGCCCACCAAGGCUUAGACGGGUAGCUGGUCUGAGAGGAUGAUCAGCCACACUGGAAUUGAGACACGGUCCAGACUCCUACGGGAGGC